GUGAGCAUAUGCCAGCUGACCCUCCUUGUGGAUGGGUUCUGUUGUGGGGUGAGCUGUAUAUUCAUAUACUGAAGUCUCCGGCACCACAGAAGAUAAUCUUAUUUGAAAAACAAAAAGACUAUUGCAGAUGGGAUUGUCUAAGUUGAGAUCCUACCGGGGGAGGGUGGGCCCUGAUCCAAUAUAAUGGGUAUCCUUAUUAAAAGAGAAGAUUUGGCCAUUCAUCCAGGACCAGUACACAAACAAUCCGGGUAAUUUUCUGUAGCCCUCAGGGAUGGGUGUGUUGAUGCCUUGCUCUCUUGAUCUUUGCUUCUAGAACUAACAGUAACUUCCUGUUGUUUAGGUCAUUCUGUCUUUCGUACUUUGUUACAGCAGCCCUAGCAAACUCAGAGGUCAGAGUUAUGUAGCUGAUCAGGAAUCCACAGCAGCUGAGGAUGUUUUGUUUGGGAGCUUCCUCUGUUUCCUCAAGGCACCCCAAAAUCUCACUGAUUAGAUUUUUUUAUAGCGUCAGAUUUUACAUCAAUAUCUUGGUUGGGAUUUUUGCGCUGCCUAAACUGGAAUAGCAUGAAUUUGGAGAAGUUCCGGAUUCUCACAGAAGCCUGCUUUGUUUGUUUCUUGCUUCCCCUUCUUUGAUCUUGUUGUGUUUCCAUGGAUGACUUUGAACUUCUGGUCCUCCUGCCUCCACCUCCACAAUGCUGGAAUUAUAGGGCAGGGCCUGUGGGUGCUUCACCAUCUGGAAGGAGCUGCUUUGGGGGCAGAAAUCUCUCCCACACUUCCAUCACAGGCCGGCAGUACUCAGGGAGUCGUGGAACAUUGAUGCCAGCAACUGAGUUCCAGGUCACCUAAAGAGGAUUUCUGUACCGCCUCCCUUGGGAGGAAUGCUUAAGGAACCAAGACCAGAAUGUCCAAGCUGCUAACGAAGUCAGCAUUAGAGCCAGCUUGACUGUGUCAGGUAGGUGCACAUGAAGGACACCAGAUUCCCUGGAACCGGAAUUACAGGCAGUCGUGAAUCGCCUGAUGUGUGCUGGGACCCAAAGCAGGGUCCUCUCAAAGAGCGUAAAAGUACUCUUAUUGCUAAGCCAUUUCUCCAGCCUGCAUUUUUUUUUCUUUCACAGUAUGGGGGCUUCUGUAAUGCCAGCCAAAUGCUGUACCCCUUCUCUGCCAUCUUUAAUAAAGUAUGUUGUAUCUAGUUUAAUUUCUCUUUCUUCUGGAUCACUUGCUUGUCCUGUUCCAUUCUAUGGAAUGAACUGUGGGAACC